UGCGGCGGAGUGACGUGGUCUCACGGCGGGCUCAUAACCCGCAAAUUCUGGGUUCAAUUCCCAGCGCCGCUACCA
rnacentral:tRNA from 1 species